GGGUUGUGAGGUUAAGCGACUAAGCGUACACGGUGGAUGCCCUGGCAGUCAGAGGCGAUGAAGGACGUGCUAAUCUGCGAUAAGCGUCGGUAAGGUGAUAUGAACCGUUAUAACCGGCGAUUUCCGAAUGGGGAAACCCAGUGUGAUUCGUCACACUAUCAUUAACUGAAUCCAUAGGUUAAUGAGGCGAACCGGGGGAACUGAAACAUCUAAGUACCCCGAGGAAAAGAAAUCAACCGAGAUUCCCCCAGUAGCGGCGAGCGAACGGGGAGGA
rnacentral:rRNA from 1 species